AUUUGGCAAAAAUAGUUUUUAGGAUUAUUUGUUAGAAGUAUAAGAAAAUAAGUAGUGUUAGCGAAAUUUCUUUUUUACUAUAGAAAAUUAGUACUGUGAAGGAAAUAUUGAAAUAUUUGAAAAUAUUUCAUGAAAAAAGUACUUAUUAAUUAAGGUACCUUUUGUAUUAGUGGUUAUCAAAAUAAAAUUUUAAAAUUUUUUCUCGAAAAUAAAAGAUCUAAGCAAUCUUGAGAGUUUUUGUGUCAAAAAAAUUCUGUAAGUGUGUUUAGGGGUGAAAUUCUAAUCGCUUUUAUUAAUAUCUAGUAACUUCAGAAAUAAAUUUAGUUUAGAAUGUUUAGGAAAACUUUAUUUUUAAGUUAUUCUUAAGUCAUUUUUAGACUUUAGGGGAUGAGCUCUAAAGUCACAGUAUAAGAUAUAAUCUUUGUGUCUUUUUUAUAGGCUUAGAAUUAGCCAUUGGAAAGUGUUAUAAAAUAUAAAAAUUAGGAUUAAGAUUUAAUUUUCUUUUGGAUUUAUGGGGUUAUUUUGUAAAUUUUCUAAGAAAAGAAAACAUGAUAAUAUUAGUAGAUAAGAUUAUAAAAAAAAUUUUUUGAAUAUUUUAUAAAAAUUUAAAAAAAUAAAUUUAACAGAAGAACUCGGCAAACAAAAUUUCCGAAUGUUUAACAAAAACAUUUCCUCCUAGAAAAGGAGGUAAGGCCUGCUCACUGAAUAUUUAAAGAGCCGCAGUAUCCUAACUGUGCUAAGGUAGCAUAAUCAUUAGUCUUUUAAUUGGAGACUGGUAUGAAUGGCUAAACGAGAAAUUGACUUUUUUUGUUAUAAAAAUUGAAUUUAAUUUUUUAGUGAAAAAGCUAAAAUUUUUCAGAAAGACGAGAAGACCCUAUAGAGUUUUAUACCUUAAAAUAUUUUCCCUAAAUAGAUUUUUUCAGGUAAAAUAUAAAUGGGUAUUUUGUUGGGGCGACAUUAAGAUACAAGAAACUCUUUAUUUUUUAAAUUUUUAUUGAAAUACGGUUGAUCCUCUAAAAGAGAUCAAAAGAAAAAAUUACCUUAGGGAUAACAGCGUAAUCUUUUUUGAGAGUUCUAAUCGACAAAAAGGUUUGCGACCUCGAUGUUGGACUAAAAUUUAGGCAGGGUGCAGCAGUUCUGCUUUAAGGUCUGUUCGACCUAUAAUAUUUUACACGAUCUGAGUUCAGACCGGCGUAAGCCAGGUUGGUUUCUAUCUUCUGAUUUAGAUGUUUCAACUUAGUACGAAAGGAUUGGUUGAUUGUAAUUUUUACAAAUAAAAGAGGAUUAUUAAUAUGGUCUAU
rnacentral:rRNA from 1 species